ACCGAGUGCCAGCAUCAUAUGCUGGCUGUCCAGGUGUGUAAAAUACACCUGUUAGCAAGGGCCGGGCAAGACCGGUGCCAGCCGCCGCGGUAACACCGGCGGCCCGAGUGGUGAUCGUGAUUAUUGGGUCUAAAGGGUCCGUAGCCGGUUUGGUCAGUCCUCCGGGAAAUCUGACGGCUUAACUGUUAGGCUUUCGGGGGAUACUGCCAGGCUUGGAACCGGGAGAGGUAAGAGGUACUACAGGGGUAGGAGUGAAAUCUUGUAAUCCCUGUGGGACCACCUGUGGCGAAGGCGUCUUACCAGAACGGGUUCGACGGUGAGGGACGAAAGCUGGGGGCACGAACCGGAUUAGAUACCCGGGUAGUCCCAGCCGUAAACGAUGCUCGCUAGGUGUCAGGCAUGGCGCGACCGUGUCUGGUGCCGCAGGGAAGCCGUGAAGCGAGCCACCUGGGAAGUACGGCCGCAAGGCUGAAACUU
rnacentral:rRNA from 1 species